ensembl:processed_transcript
ACGCACAAACUCAGUUCGUGAAGUUCUGAGUGCUCUUACAGGGAUAUUUCUAGCCUCAGCUGCCUCUGUAGGGGCCGAAGUGAAGAAAUGUGACAUGACACCUGCGCUCAUUACCUGCUGAGGAUCUUCAUUAGCUCGGUGUGUGCGGUACAUUGAGCUCGGAUGACUUGCAGAUUCAGAUCUGCCAAAGAACAAGAUGCAGAAAUAAAGACGAGGCCAAACAGCUUAUGAAACGGCUGUGCCUAAAGAGUCGAGGACACGAAAGGAUUCAUAAGAGUCAUUAUCCAGUCCAGACGUGCUCCGCAUCUGGAUCUCCAUCUUUGAAGCCGCUGAUGUUGUUUUGAAGUCUUCAGAUGAGACGGAGCCCCGGCGCGUCGACAGCGGGUUUCUGCGUGACCAUUGAUGACCCCGUCGCCGCGGCG